CAGAAUGAACCUAUACUCUACAUAUCGCCAACCUCAUAAUACUUAUGAAUUGAGAUUCAUGUUUUUGGAAAAUAACACAAAUUAUUUGACUGUGACCAUGCUGGAGCACCACCUUUAGUCGAGCAAAUCGACCCCAGGACUUAUUCUUUGGAGCACAUAUUGUCUUUUACACAGACUUCCAAAAUUACAUCGUGUCCAUUUCGGUAUUAAGAAGAAUCACACAUUUUGUAUGGAGGGCAGCAUUUAGUUAGUAAUGGAAAGGAAUUCUAUACAUAGGUCCUCUGGUAGUAAUUGAAGGAUAUAUUUAUUUGCCAUUGUGAACGAUGACAUUAUUCUAAUUGAUAAAAUAUAAUUCAAUAUUACUGCAAGCCGAAGUAAAUUUGCCUAAAAACAAAUAAAACACUAU